rnacentral:rRNA from 1 species
AGUAACGCGUGGGUAACCUGCCUUGUACUGGGGGACAACAGUUGGAGACGACUGCUAAUACCGCAUAAGCGCACAGCUUCGCAUGAAGCAGUGUGAAAAACUCCGGUGGUACAAGAUGGACCCGCGUCUGAUUAGCUGGUUGGUGAGGUAACGGCCCACCAAGGCAACGAUCAGUAGCCGGCCUGAGAGGGUGAACGGCCACAUUGGGACUGAGACACGGCCCAA